rnacentral:rRNA from 1 species
GGGGGGGGGGGGGGGCGGGGGGGGCGCGGGGGGGGCGGGCGGGGGCAGGGCUGCGGGUGCGGACGGGUGGCGGACGGGUGAGUAAUACAUCGGAACGUGCCCAGACGUGGGGGGUAACGAGGCGAAAGCUUUGCUAAUGCCGCAUCCGAGCUACGGAUGGAGGGAGGGGGCCGCCGGGCCUUGCGCGGUUGGCGCGGCCGAUGGCAGCUUAGGUAGUUGGUGGGAUAAAAGCUUACCAAGCCGACGAUCUGUACCUGGUCUGAGAGGACGACCAGCCACACUGGGACUGAGACACGGCCCAGACUCCUACGGGAGGCAGCAGUGGGGAAUUUUGGACAAUGGGCGAAAGCCUGAUCCAGCAAUGCCGCGUGCAGGAUGAAGGCCUUCGGGUUGUAAACUGCUUUUGUACGGAACGAAAAGGCUCUGGCUAAUACCUGGGGCACAUGACGGUACCGUAAGAAUAAGCACCGGCUAACUACGUG